rnacentral:sRNA from 1 species
GAAGAUCUUCUAAAACUGGAGUUACAGGCAGUUCUGAGCCACCUGACUGAGCACCAAACAGAAUGGAAGCGAAUGUUCUAGACUGCUGAGCCAUCUCUACAACCCCAAGGUGUUCAUAGCAGUAUUUCCCACACUUGCAUGUCCAAGUGUGAUUUUUUUGUAACAGGGUCUCAUGUAGCCCAAGCUGGCCUUGAACUUGCUAUGUAUAUUACUUUCUUAUGGAUCCCCGACCCUCUUAGACAAUACAGGUCUCCACUGUGCUUGCUAAUUCACGACACUGCCGUCAUCCUUUAUCCUUCUAGAAGGAGCAAUCUGCCUCAACCCGCAAAGUUGUCUCUAAUCUCUUAUGAUUUUCAUAUGUUUUGAGGCCUUUACAUUUAGUCAGCUGAUUUCACCAAAUCACUUGCUGUUUGAGACUUGCUCCUUCAGUCUGUCCUCAGGUUACACUUCUCUCAGCCAUAUGCUCCUAGCUCAUCCUGUCUAAUGACAACCUAUUGCUCUCCCCCACCCCAUUCUCUUCCUCUCCUUGUGCUCCCUACCUGUAAACCCCAGCCCCAUAACCAAAGCUCCACCUACCUCUGUUCUUACCUGUAAUUGGCUGUCAGUCACUUUUAUAUAACCAGUCAGAGAAGAUUGUAGAGCAAAGUUUACAUAACAUUAUUUUCUCAUUAUUCAUGAGAAAGUGCUCCUCUGGACUGCAGCCAGAUUUUGGGAGCCAGUAUUUAACAUUUGAAUAUAUAGCAGCACCAGACCAGCCCCCGACAGAUGUCAUUUAUGCAAUAGCCUUACUCUUGAGUAGUCUGGCAUCUUCUGUCAAUGCGAAAUAGGAUGAAUAAUGCUCAUUUUACACAUGAAGAAACUAAGAAUAGAAGGAUACAUUUACAGUGUUUGAAUGAACAUGUCCUUCAUAUGCUCAUAGGAUUGAAUACUUGGAUCUGAGUUGGUGGGACUCCUUGUUGGAGAGGGUGUGUCACCGGGGGUAGGCUUUAAGGUUUUAAAAGACUCACGCCAUCCCCACUAUGUCCUCAGGUGACUACUACUUGUGACUCAAGAUGCGAACUCUCAGCUGUUCUUGCCACUGUGCAAUUGCUCCACCAUCACAGACCCUGAAACCAUGAUUCCAACUUCUCUGAGUAGCAUUGAUCGUAGUGUCUUCUCACAGCAAUAGAAGAGUAACUUAGACAUAUAGUUAAGACUAUAUCUGAAUUACCAACCCCAAAGUUUGUUUUUUGUUAAUUUAUGAUCAUUACUAAGGUAUACAUUUGAAUAAUUCCCAGUGGACAAAUUUCCAAUGUAUUAAUUUAAUGCAAUUUAUUGUUUUCUGAUCCUAAUCUUUGGAGACUCUCCACCACAGCAACCCUCAUAAGCAUCUCCUUCUAUCUAAUAUAGUCUUGGAUGAAGAAAUUUCUAAUAAAGAUAAUGAAUAGAGGAUAGUGUGGAAUGAAUAGUGUAAUGAAAAGGGUGAUCGUUUGAGUUAAGUCAAAAAAGGGGGUAGGAAGACAAGUCCAGACUAAACGAAAGGAGAAAGUCCCUGGCAUAAUGUCAGAGGGACCAUUAACAAUCACGUUCUGCCCUUUAAGACCUGACGCCUUUCUUCAGCGUUGAGCCUGAGGAAGAGAGAAAAAGGUCUGUCUGUUAAGCACUCACUGUCAUGGGAUGAAGUUAAGAAAGGCAGAACCUUCGUUCAUCACUACAUGAAAGAGGGAAACAGGGACAUUUUUAUAUCCAGGACCUUACGUUUUGUUUGCUUUACUAAAAAUCAAGUACAAUCAUCUCAUAAUCAAAGCUUUGGCCGAUUUUAUUCUCAAACCCUGCCUAAAAUCUAACUCAACUGUGGUUUCUCUAAUAGAGCAUCUUUAUAGAGAGAAAAAGACUAUCACAAAAUUAUAUACAGUUGGUAUAACUCUAAUUCAAGUAGUUGCUUGCAAAAGUAGCAGUUACCGAUAUUUUUCAAAAUGAAUAGUAGGUUAAAAUGAAAAUAAAAUGCUUAAUGAAGCAAUUCCUGAAGCUCAAGUAAAACACCUUCUUUCAUCCCCUAAAUUAUUGGCCCAUUUAUUUUCAUUUUAUGUAUAUCUGGUAUCUGUGCAAAAAUGUAAAACCUCAAACUAGUUGCAUAAUUAUCUAUUAUUUUUAUAAUCAUAUUUUAUUACGUCAUUGUAGCUGGCAUUCAGGUUCUAUGUACAAACAGUUUGUUAUUACAAAUAAUUGAGAAGACAUAAAAGUAGUUCAGUAGCCAAGUGCACUCACUGAGUAAUCCUGAGAGUUAAGUUUGGAUUCCAGGACCAAUAUAACAAGCCAGACAUCUCACACAUGCCUGAAGUACCAGCUUUGAUGGAUGAAGACAAGAGGAUUUUCCGGAGCUUGAUUUCUUCUAGCUUUGCUGAGGAUGUGAAUUCCAGGCUUAGGGAGACCCUGCCUCAAAAGCAUAGCUGGAGAGGAAUAAAGAAGGAUAGUGAUAAAGAGGCCUAUUCUGACCUCUGUGCUUGUGCACAGGAAUGCACACACAUACAUGUGCAUACAUCAUAUCAACACAUAUGCACACAAAUAAAAAAUAUUUUGUAGAAAGUUGGAAGAAACCUGUGAUGUCAACUAAGUCUCUAGAAUUGGUAGAAUAAGUAAUUUGACAAUAACAGGGUAACAGAAACUAAAUCUCACUUAUCUAUUACAACUAGGAAAAGGACAUGUGGCUAAUUAUAAUUAAUAAUCUCAGCUUUCUCACUAAACAAAGUAUUUUUUUACAAGUAGAUUUAUGAGAUUUUCACUCAUACUGUUUCUGUAUACCAGCGGUGGAAUUUUGAAAUCUGUUGUUCAUGUGAUGAGAUAUUAGAGAUAUUAGAGAAUACGAAGACGGUGCCAACCAUUUCAGUGUGAACAGACAACAUAGAUAUUUAUAGUUAAAAGUCUCUGCCUCUCAAGACAGCAAUGCAGUUAUACCCUGCCCUUUUUUUAAAAAAAUUAAUAAUAAUGGCCAUAUGUUCAGAGACAAUCGUUUGUCAUUACAAAAUAAAAUAUUGAUAUGUUAUACUUUUUGAUAGAGUGUGGCUAGUGCUACCAUUAUUCUAAGUAUUGAAACUAUAAUGCAACGUGAUGAUUCUGGAAGAAUAUGUAAGUGCUCAAUUUCUUUCCCGACUUCCGAAGAAUUACAUCCUGUCACUCAAAUUUUUCCUUGCUCUCUUCCUCUCUAGUUGGUUGUGUUCAGGACAAACCAAGCUACUUUGCUUAUAAAUUAUACAGGGCAAUCCAUGUAAGUAUAACACAUACUUUUUUAACUUAUUUAAAAUUAAUAUCUACUAUUUUUAUUCCAAAGAAAAUGUGUUCAAGUAAAAGGAAGCAAGUUAAACACCAAAAGUGAAAUUCAUUAAAUGCAGAUAUUCUCUGCUUUCUACAACAUGUGUACUUAAGACACCUGAGACUUAGAGUAUAUUGACCUCGUGCAGUUUAGAAUCUUAAUAUUUUUUAUUUAUUUAAACUGAUCAUUCAAAUGCACCAUGACGGCAACAACAGCCUAAUGCCUUCCCUGUGUAUGACCUGGACAAAUAAUCAUAGUUAUUCUGAUUCCAGCUGUGCCCUGAUCCCAGCUGUGCCCUGAUUCAGGGAACUUGGUCAGAAUUUUGGUUGUUGUAAUCUCCCCAAAUUAUGAAAUGUUAGUAGAUUUAUACUCAAAAAUAUUCUGAUAUAAAGCAUUAGAUUACGUUGAGUGGCCACCAGAUGUCACCAUUGUUCCACUUGAAAGACGUUUGAAACUUCCGAGAAGGGAGGCCCCAGGCAUCCCAUAGCAGUGACAGCAAUGUUUAAGUCCUGUGGACCCACAAGCAAAUCGCUACUGAGAAGGAAGCCCUUCCAUGCUGAACAGGUCUUAAAGUACUGUUUUCUCUACCCACAUUUCUGCUGUUUUUAGGAUUUUGGCUUCCAUAACAAAACUGUCAUCAGGAUUCUAAUCGCCAGAAGUGAAAUAGAUCUAAUGACCAUAAGGAAACGUUACAAGGAGAGAUUCGGAAAAUCCCUCUUUCAUGAUAUCAAAAAUUUUGCUUCAGGACACUAUAAGAAAGCAUUGCUUGCCAUCUGCGCCGGUGAUGUGGAAGACUAUUAAAAAGAGGGAGGGUUUGAAGAUAAUGGAAUCUUCUUUAUAGACACCAGAUAUAGACGGCUGAACGUGUGCUGUCAUUGACACUGAAACAAAACCAUAAAAUCAUAUCUUCUUAUAUCUCUACAAUUAUUCUGAGACAAAAAUAAAUCUACUAUUGAAAAUA